GACGAACGCUGGCGGCGUGCUUAACACAUGCAAGUCGAGCGGAAAGGCCCUUUCGGGGGUACUCGAGCGGCGAACGGGCGAGUAACACGUGAGUAAUACGCCCUUCACUUUGGGAUAACCCCCGGAAACGGGAGCUAAUACCGUAUAUGACCGGCAACCGCAUGGUUUGAUGGUGGAAACUUUUUGGGUGGGGGAUGUGCUCGCGGCCUAUCAGCUUGUUGGUGGGGUAAUGGACUACCAAGGCUUUGACGGGUAGCCGGCCUGAGAGGGUGACCGGCCACACUGGGACUGGGACACGGCCCAGACUCCUACGGGAGGCAGCAGUGGGGAAUAUUGGACAAUGGGCGGAAGCCUGAUCCAGCAACGCCGCGUGAGGGAUGACGGCCUUCGGGUUGUAAACCUCUUUCAGCACCGACGAAGCGUGAGUGACGGUAGGUGCAGAAGAAGGACCGGCCAACUACGUGCCAGCCGCCGCCGUAAGAC
rnacentral:rRNA from 1 species